UACAGAGGGUGCAAGCGUUAUUCGGAUUUACUGGGCGUAAAGGGCGCGUAGGUUGUUAAGCAAGUCUGGUGUGAAAGCCCUCGUUUUAAGCGAGGAAGUGCACUAGAUACUACUUGACUAGAGUACAGGAGGGGGAAGCGGAAUUCCAGGUGUAGAGGUGAAAUUCGUAGAUAUCUGGAGGAACAACGGCGGCGAAGGCGGCUUCCUGGACUGUAACUGACACUGAGGCGCGAAAGCGUGGGGAGCAAACAGG
rnacentral:rRNA from 1 species